rnacentral:misc_RNA from 1 species
GCGUCGAUGAAGAGCGCAGCCAGCUGCGUGAAUUAAUGUGAAUUGCAGGACACACUGAACAUCGACACCUUGAACGCACAUUGCGGCUCUGGCUCACUGCCAGAGCCACGUCUGUCCGAGGGUCGGCGAGCACGUAAUCGCACAGAAACCGUCUUCUAGAAGGACGGUCUGUGCGCGUUGGCGAGUCGCGCGGGCUUCAGUCCCGGUCGUCCGCCGUAGACUUCAGCCUCUCUCUGGGCAGCCUACAUGGAGGUGGCGCUCGGACAGGGCUCGAACGGGCCUUCUGUCUGGCGCCUCGUACGAACCUCCGUACGUACGGCGGCUCCCUCGCCCCUUCACCGGGGAGAGAGAGCGGCGGCGUGCAAACGCCGCCGAAGUAGAGACCGUCAACCCAGUUGUUGACGGGCUCGUCACGCAUCCGACCUCGGAUCAGACGGGAAUACCCGCUGAAUUUAAGCAUAUCAGUAAGCGGAGGAAAAAAAACU